UCUAGCAGAUCUGGUGAUGAAAUCGUUCGUCCAAGGGUGCCUCUUGAAGCUUGGCUAGCAAGCUUUUCAGCUCCAGAGGAGGUUCAUGGUUUUUACAGCACUGCCUUGAAGACUAAAACAACCGCAGUCAAGACUGCUGGUCUAACUUCAUUUCCUGAUUAUUUGGUGUUGCACAUGUAGCAAUUUGUUAUGGAGAAAGGCUGGGUGCCAAAAAAGCUUUAUGUCUACAUAGAUGUUCCUGAUAUCAUUGAUAUUAGUCACAUGCGUAGCAAGGGCAUUCAGCCUGGGGAAGGGCUAUUACCAGAGGCUG